rnacentral:rRNA from 1 species
UACAUAGGGUGCGAGCGUUGUCCGGAAUCAUUGGGCGUAAAGCGCACGUAGGCGGGUUUUCAAGUCGAUUGUGAAAGCCCUGGGCUCAACCCGGGAACUGCAGUCGAUACUGUUAAUCUUGAGUGCUUGAGAGGAUGGCGGAAUUCCUGGUGUAGAAGUGAAAUUCGUAGAUAUCAGGAGGAACACCGGAGGCGAAAGCGGCUAUCUGGCGAGACACUGACGCUGAGGUGCGAAAGCGUGGGGAUCAAACAGG